rnacentral:rRNA from 1 species
AGGAUCAUUAUUGAAAUAAAUUUGAUGAGUUGUUGCUGGUUCUCUAGGGAGCAUGUGCACACUUAUCAUUGUAUUUUUUCACCUGUGCACAUUUUGUAGACCUUGGGUAUCUCUCUGAUUGCUAGCUUUUUUAGUUAGCACUUAGGAUUGAGGAUUGACUUUAUGUCUCUUCUUACAUCUCCAGGUCUAUGUUUCUUCAAAUACCCCAAUGUAUGUUUUUAGAAUGUAAUUAUUAGGCCUUUGUGCCUAUAAGUCUAUACAACUUUCAGCAACGGAUCUCUUGGCUCUCGCAUCGAUGAAGAACGCAGCGAAAUGCGAUAAGUAAUGUGAAUUGCAGAAUUCAGUGAAUCAUCGAAUCUUUGAACGCACCUUGCGCUCCUUGGUAUUCCGAGGAGCAUGCCUGUUUGAGUGUCAUUAAUAUAUCAACCUCUUUGGUUGGAUCUGGGUUUGCUGGCCUCAUUGAKAUCAGCUCUCCUUAAAUGUAUUAGCAGACAACAUUUUGCCAAACGCUCAUUGGUGUGAUAAUUAUCUACGCUAUUGACGUGAAGCAUGUUUUGCUUAUAACUGUCCAUUGACUUGGACAAAUUUCUAUUUGUUAAUGUGACCUCAAAUCAGGUAGGACUACCCGCUGAACUUAA